UACGUAGGGCGCGAGCGUUGUCCGGAAUCAUUGGGCGUAAAGAGCUCGUAGGCGGUUUGUCGCGUCUGCUGUGAAAACCUAAGGCUCAACCUUGGGCUUGCAGUGGGUACGGGCAGACUAGAGUGCGGUAGGGGUGACUGGAAUUCCUGGUGUAGCGGUGAAAUGCGCAGAUAUCAGGAAGAACACCCGUGGCGAAGGCGGCUCUCUGGUACGUGACUGACGCUGAGACGCGAAAAGCGUGGGGAGCAAACAGG
rnacentral:rRNA from 1 species